rnacentral:misc_RNA from 1 species
GAUGAAGAACGUAGCGAAAUUCGAUAAGUAAUGUGAAUUGCAGAAUUCAGUGAAUCAUCGAAUCUUUGAACGCACAUUGCGCCCGCCAGUAUUCUGGCGGGCAUGCCUGUUCGAGCGUCAUUUCAACCAUCAAGCCCCCCGGCUUGUGUUGGGGACCUGCGGCUGCCGCAGGCCCUGAAAAGCAGUGGCGGGCUCGCUGUCACACCGAGCGUAGUAGAUCUCAUCUCGCUCAGGGCGUGCUGCGGGUUCCGGCCGUUAAACCACCUUCAUAACCCAAGGUUGACCUCGGAUCAGGUAGGAAGACCCGCUGAACUUAAGCAUAUCAAUAAGCGGAGGA